UCUUAGUGGCGGACGGGUGAGUAACGCGUGGGCAACCUGCCCUGUACCGGGGGAUAACACUUAGAAAUAGGUGCUAAUACCGCAUAAUAGGGAAUACCGCAUGGUAAUCCUUUGAAAACUCCGGUGGUACAGGAUGGGCCCGCGUCUGAUUAGCCAGUUGGCGGGGUAACGGCCCACCAAAGCGACGAUCAGCAGCCGGCCUGAGAGGGUGGACGGCCACACUGGGACUGAGACACGGCCCAGACUCCUACGGAAGGCAGCAG
rnacentral:rRNA from 1 species